GACUGGAGUGCAGACAUGUUCUUUCCCAGAAUAUCUCACCUUCUAGACUCUCCACCUUUUCAGCCUCAUUUCCAUCUUCG